CCUACGGGUGGCAGCAGUGGGGAAUAUUGCACAAUGGGGGAAACCCUGAUGCAGCGACGCCGCGUGAGUGAAGAAGUAAUUCGUUAUGUAAAGCUCUAUCAGCAGGGAAGAAAAUGACGGUACCUGAGUCAGAAGCCCCGGCUAACUACGUGCCAGCAGCCGCGGUAAUACGGAGGGGGCAAGCGUUAUCCGGAUUUACUGGGUGUAACGGGAGCGUAGACGGCGGUGCAAGUCUGGAGUGAAAGGCGGGGGCUCAACCCACGGACUGCUCUGGAAACUGUACGGCUGGAGUGCAGGAGAGGUAAGUGGAAUGCCAAGUGUAGCGGUGAAAUGCGUAGAUAUUAGGAGGAACACCAGUGGCGAAGGCGGCUUACUGGACGGUAACUGACGUUGAGGCUCGAAAGCGUGGGGAGCAAACAGGAUUAGAUACCCUGGUAGUC
rnacentral:rRNA from 1 species